ensembl:miRNA cja-mir-302b cja-mir-302b
UGGGCUCCCUUCAACUUUAACAUGGAAGUACUUUCUGUGACUUUAAAAGUAAGUGCUUCCAUGUUUUAGUAGAAGUGAAUCCA